UCAUAAACCUGAUGGAAACGGCAGCCCGAGCUUUUUCUGCGAGGCUAUAGUGCACAGCAGGGCUGACU
rnacentral:sRNA from 1 species